UGACAUUACUUCACGAAUAAGGAGCUGCUAAUCUCGUGCCAGAAGCAUCGGUCAUACGGGAGCUCCAAGCGUUAUCCGGAUUUAUUGGGCGUAAAGGGUGCGUAGGCGGAUAAAAUAGUCAGAUGUUAAAUCGGGAAGCUCAACUUUCCGGCCGCAUUUGAAACGUUUUAUCUAGAAACAAGCAGAGGUCGGCGGAACUCAUGGUGUAGCAGUGAAAUGCGUUGAUAUCAUGGGGAACACCAAAUGCGAAGGCAGCCGGCUGGGCUUUGUUUGACGCUGAGGCACGAAAGCGUGGGUAGCGAAUGGGAUUAGAUACCCCAGUGGUCCACGCCGUAAACGAUGCGCGCUCGGCAUUGGGAGUUUCGACCCUCUCAGUGUCUAAGCUAACGCGAUAAGCGCGCCGCCUGGGAAGUACGGCCGCAAGGCUAAAACUCAAAGGAAUAGACGGGGAUCCGCACAAGCGGUGGAGCAUCUGGUUUAAUUUGAUAUGAAGCAAGGAACCUUACCAGGGCUAGAAACCUAGCUGCAUUCCGGUGGAAACACCGGAAGCCUUCGAGGGUGCUAGGCAGGUGUUGCAUGGCCAUCGUCAGCUCGUGCUGUGAAGUGUUCCAUUAAGUUGGGAAACGAGCGCAACCCCUACUGUGUGUUACAAGUGUCACACGGAACUGCCC
rnacentral:rRNA from 1 species